UAAUACGUAGGGGGCAAGCGUUGUCCGGAAUCAUUGGGCGUAAAGCGCGUGUAGGCGGGUCGGUAAGUCUGCUCUGAAAGUCCAAGGCUCAACCUUGGGAUGCGGGUGGAUACUGCCGACCUAGAGUCCGGAAGAGGCGAGUGGAAUUCCUGGUGUAGCGGUGAAAUGCGCAGAUAUCAGGAGGAACACCAAUGGCGAAGGCAGCUCGCUGGGACGUGACUGACGCUGAGACGCGAAAGCGUGGGGAGCAAACAGGAUUAGAUACCCUGGUAGUCCACGCCGUAAACGAUGGGCACUAGGUGUGGGGGGUGUCGACUCCCCCCGUGCCGAAGCUAACGCAUUAAGUGCCCCGCCUGGGGAGUACGGCCGCAAGGCUA
rnacentral:rRNA from 1 species